UACGAAGGGGGCAAGCGUUGUUCGGAUUCAUUGGGCGUAAAGGGUGCGUAGGCGGCGCGGUAAGUCGGGUGUGAAAUCUCGGAGCUUAACUCCGAAACUGCAUUCGAUACUGCCGUGCUUGAGGACUGGAGAGGAGACUGGAAUUUACGGUGUAGCGGUGAAAUGCGUAGAUAUCGUAAGGAAGACCAGUGGCGAAGGCGGGUCUCUGGACAGUUCCUGACGCUGAGGCACGAAGGCCAGGGGAGCAAACGGG
rnacentral:rRNA from 1 species